AUGGCAAGCGCCUACCUCUCAAGCUUCCAGGCUGCCCCCACCGCCACCGGCGGCGGCGCCGGCGCGUCACCGAGGCCGAGGCCAAGAGCGGUGACACGCCACGCCUCCGAGCCGUCGGGCAGGCGAUCAGUUUGCCUCCGCCUCGGCAUCAGCCUCGCCACCGCCGCCGUGCUCCACACAGCGCCCGCCCACGCCACCGACGAGGACCCGGAGCCGGAGCCGGCCAACAACGGCUGGUGGCUCACCGAGUUCCCCUUGCCGGUGCCCAAGAUCCGCAACAAGGAGAUCAAUAAUGGCGAGUCGGGGACGCGGUCCUUCGUGAAGAACGGCAUCUACAUGGCCGACAUCGGGCCGAGCUUCGCGGCGCACGCCUACCAGAUACGCAGCUCCGCCUUCGACCUGCUGGCGCUGGAGGACCUGCUCGGCAAGGAGGCCUCCAACUACGUCAACAAGUACCUCCGCCUCAAGGCCACCUUCAUCUACUACGACUUCGACAAGCUCAUCACCGCCGCCGACCCCGACGCCAGGCCGCCGCUCCUCGGCCUGGCCAACCGCCUCUUCGACAGCUUCGAGAGGCUGCAGGCCGCCGUCACCACCAAGGACGACGCCGACAUCGGGUCCUGCUAUGCUGAUACCAAGCUCAUCCUGCAGGAAGUCAUGACAAGAAUGGCCUAG
rnacentral:rRNA from 1 species